rnacentral:rRNA from 1 species
AUUGAACGCUGGCGGCAGGCCUAACACAUGCAAGUCGAGCGAGCGGCGGACGGGUGAGUAAUGUAUGGGGACUGCCCGAUAGAGGGGGCUAACUCCUGGAAACGGUCGCUAAUACCGCAUACUAUCGGAUAACCCAUAUGGGAUUAGCUAGUCGGUGAGGUAAUGGCUCACCUAGGCGACGAUCCCUAGCUGGUCUGAGCGGAUGAUCAGCCACACUGGGCCUGCGACACGGCCCCGACUCCUACGGAGUCGUCAGUUGGUAAUAUUGCACAAUGGGCGCAAGCCUGAUGCAGCCAUGCCGCGUGUAUGAAGAAGGCCCUAGGGUUUUAAAGUACUUUCAGUCGGGAGGCGUUACCGACAGAAGAAGCACCGGCUAACUCCGUGCCAGCAGCCGCGGUAAUUC